rnacentral:rRNA from 1 species
GAUGAACGCUAGCUACAGGCUUAACACAUGCAAGUCGCAGGGUAACAUGAGGAAAGCUUGCUUUCCUUGAUGACGACUGGCGCACGGGUGAGUAACGCGUAUCCAACCUUCCCAUAACUACGGGAUAACCCGUUGAAAGACGGCCUAAUACCGUAUGAUAUCGUUUGCUGACAUCAAAUAACGAUUAAAGGUUUAGCGGUUAUGGAUGGGGAUGCGUCUGAUUAGCUUGUUGGCGGGGUAACGGCCCACCAAGGCGACGAUCAGUAGGGGUUCUGAGAGGAAGGUCCCCCACAUUGGAACUGAGACACGGUCCAAACUCCUACGGGAGGCAGCAGUGGGGAAUAUUGCACAAUGGGGGAAACCCUGAUGCAGCGACGCCGCGUGAGCGAAGAAGGCCUUCGGGUCGUAAAGCUCUUUUAUAUGGGAAGAUAAUGACGGUACCAUAAGAAAAAGCCCCGGCUAACUACGUGCCAGCAGCCGCGGUAAUACGUAGGGGGCUAGCGUUGUCCGGAAUCACUGGGCGUAAAGGGUUCGCAGGCGGCAAUGCAAGUCAGAUGUAAAAGGCAAAGGCUCAACCUUUGUAAGCAUCUGAAACUGUAUAGCUUGAGAAGUGUAGAGGCAAGUGGAAUUUUUAGUGUAGCGGUGAAAUGCGUAGAUAUUAAAAAGAAUACCGGUGGCGAAGGCGACUUGCUGGGCACAAUCUGACGCUGAGGAACGAAAGCGUGGGGAGCAAACAGG